CAAAGUACUUUUCUCGAACUCGAGCAAAACUGAAUCAACUAAAAAGUGACAUGUGAGGCACAGAGAAAAGCAGCUCUACUGAGGUCACCUUGCUGGUCAGUAGAACUGGGCUACAACCUGGGUCUGUCACUCAAUCUGCAAACCAUACUGCCCCAUUGUCUAUGUCUAUUGUCUACCAUGGGGUCUCCAGGAAAAGGCGGGUUCAAAAUUAGUUCCUUACUCUAAAGCCCAUAACUUGGGAAACUACUGUCAAAGAUCCUGCCUCUUAAAAAAAAAAAUACGAUCCCAAGCCUGAUUCAGUGGCACAUACCUGUAAGCUGGGGGUAUAGCUCGGUGGUAGAGCAUUCCUGGGUUCAAUCCACAGUAUUACAAACGAGAAAAACACGGCCCUAGCUGGGUGUGGUGUUUUGUGCCUUUAGUCCCA